AGGAAGGUGGGGAUGACGUCAAGUCAUCAUGGCCCUANUGGGCAGGGCUACACACGUGCUACAAUGGUCGGUACAAAGGGUUGCCAACCCGCGAGGGGGAGCUAAUCCCAAAACGCCGAUCGUAGUCCGGAUUGGAGUCUGCAACUCGACUCCAUGAAGUCGGAAUCGCUAGUAAUCGCAGAUCAGCAUUGCUGCGGUGAAUACGUUCCCGGGCCUUGUACACACCGCCCGUCACACCAUGGGAGUUGGCUGCACCAGAAGCCGGUAGUCUAACCUUCGGGAGGGCGCCGUCCACGGCGUGGUCGAUGAUUGGGGUGAAGUCGUAACAAGGUAGCCGUAA
rnacentral:rRNA from 1 species